ACUAGUGCCUUGGUGCACUGUAUGGCUGUUUGGUUCAGGGCACCAAAUUGGAAGCACAGUGGCUGCUGAGCUUAUUGUGGCUGGGGAGUUUUGCAAUGCAUUCUUCAAAGGCAGUAUUUGUUUGAGAGGCUUCAGUGCUACUGAUCAUCUUGUGGUGAUUGAUGGCAGGCAGCGCGGGGCUGUUGCUGAUGGAGUCCUUAAAUAGAACACCAGACAACUUUGGAUAUACCUGACAUCGGGAGCAGGGCAAGUGUAUACCUGGGAAUUCAUGAAAAUGAGCGUAACCAUCCAGAAUGAGGUGGCCACUAUGACUGUCUCCAUGUCCCUUUGAAGUGUUAUUACGGGAUUACUCUACCAAUUUUGACUGUAGAAUCGGCAUUCCCAGACACAAGUAUAUUGUCCUUGAGUUCCAUUCCACUUGUUAAAGACUGGUGGCCCGUCAGCGUGUGAAUGCAGUUUCCUGUCUCCACAUCCCAGACUCGGAUGGAGGUGUCAAGAGAUCCACUCACCACAUGGAUACCAUCAAACUACAAGAAAGGAGAUUAUGAUGGGAGAUGGGGAAUUCUGGAUCAGUCAGCCUAACUUCAAUUUCCAGAAGAAACUAACAAAUAAUCUGUCUGGUUGUAAGCAAUGUGUGAUGCUUUGACUUUAUGAAUGAACAAGAUGAUCUCUUGGAUUAGUAAAGUGAACUCUGAAAUUAAAUACUGCAUCGACAUAACAACCUCCUGCCAGAGGGUUCUGCUCAUCUUCUCCAUGCCAGGAUUUGCAUUUUGUCAGUGACACCACCCUGCUCUUGAUACUACAUCUUUCCUGGUCUUCCCAGCACAAUCAUUACGGUAAUCAUGUGGCUGAAAAUGCUCUUGUUCAUCACUCCUUCCUAGCAAUCUACUGCCUUGGUUUUGGAUCCCUUUUUCUGAGGAAAUGUAGCAGAAUAUUGCCUUUUUCAAAUAAGUAUCAACCAGCAAACACCACAACCGCUCAUACUCUCAUUUCAAAGCCAUUCAA